GUGCCUAUUUCUCUCCACUUCAUCUCCCAAAGCCGUGCCUCAAGCGCUUCAUCUCUUUCUCCACCCACGCACACCUACAUGCACACAAACAAGAGGAAAAGGAAACCUACAGGAGAAACAUUCCCUGGUCUAAAUUGUUUAGUUCUUCACCGUUUCCAAAUUUCAGCUCCAUGGACGCCGAUGCUCUAUCCCGAUGAUUUAGGCGAUCCAUGUUCGAGUCCUUGCGCCAAAAUAUUCUGCUCCAUGCCGCAGCUCCAUUCAGAGAAGAAACAACGUGUUCCGUCGAGCAUACGCGGAGAAUUUUGCAAGGAGUGACAAUAUCGAUGUUGGACAUGGAUAGAACAGGUUACUGAAGAAGGACUCAACAACGAAGGCAUGCCUCCUUCUUUGAUCAUACUUAUCCUAUGUUUACAAAAUUGCAUUGUGUUUUAUGGUUAUUAUAUGCAUGCUAUUUUAAUUCUCGUAGCUAGCGUGUCGAUUGACACAUUACCUUGAUCCACUUGUUGCCUAUUCAUUUGACACCUGAGUAGAAUUAUAGUAUUCUUGUAGAGUAGAAAU